rnacentral:rRNA from 1 species
UAGGGAAUCUUCGGCAAUGGACGGAAGUCUGACCGAGCAACGUCGCGUGAGUGAAGAAGUUUUUCGGAUCGUAAAGCUCUGUUGUAAGAGAAGAACGAGUGUGAGAGUGGAAAGUUCACACUGUGACGGUAUCUUACCAGAAAGGGACGGCUAACUACGUGCCAGCAGCCGCGGUAAUACGUAGGUCCCGAGCGUUGUCCGGAUUUAUUGGGCGUAAAGCGAGCGCAGGCGGUUAGAUAAGUCUGAAGUUAAAGGCUGUGGCUUAACCAUAGUAGGCUUUGGAAACUGUUUAACUUGAGUGCAAGAGGGGAGAGUGGAAUUCCAUGUGUAGCGGUGAAAUGCGUAGAUAUAUGGAGGAACACCGGUGGCGAAAGCGGCUCUCUGGCUUGUAACUGACGCUGAGGCUCGAAAGCGUGGGGAGCAAACAGGAUUAGAUACCCUGGUAGUCCACGCUGUAAACGAUGAGUGCUAGGUGUUAGACCCUUUCCGGGGUUUAGUGCCGUAGCUAACGCAUUAAGCACUCCGCCUGGGGAGUACGACCGCAAGGUUG